rnacentral:rRNA from 1 species
GACGUAGGGGGCGAGCGUUGUCCGGAUUCAUUGGGCGUAAAGAGCACGCAGGCGGUUCGGCAAGUCGGAUGUGAAAACCAGAAGCUCAACUUCUGGCGUGCAUCCGAAACUGCCGGACUAGAGGUAGGUAGGGGAGAUCGGAAUUCCUGGUGUAGCGGUGAAAUGCGCAGAUAUGACAUAGAACACCAAUUGCGAAGGCAGCUCGCUACACGAAUAUUGACUCUGAGGCACGAAAGCGUGGGGAUCAAACAGG